rnacentral:lncRNA from 1 species
UGUGGAGAUGCAGGGCAUGAGGACUUACUUGCUAUAUGAUGUAGAUGUCUUGAUGGUGCUGACCACACCAAUUGCAUUAAAGUAAUGAUAAAUAAAGUUCUCGAAUGUGAUUGGGUAUGUGAAGAAUGCGAAAAAAAGGAAACUAAAAUCACAAACCGACAAGAAUAACACAGGGACUUCAACUGAAAAGACCAUUCUUCACAUUCAAAAGUUGCGAAAGCACGUGGAAAAAGACUUGCAAACGAAUUAGAGUCGUCUUUUAAAAAACGGUUGUGGUGCUAUUACCCGACGGCAAGGAAUAUUGAUGACGUGGAUGAGAUAAAUGAGCAAACUGAAAACAUGAAACUGGUUCAGUACGCACUCACAACACCCAUUGGUGCAUCUGCUGAUUUUGAUGAGGUUAUUCAGAUCUUCCAUACGAAGCAAUGAAUGGUUGAAGAUCGAGUCAGGACACUGAUGGUACGGGAACGUGAUCACAUAGUCUUUUGAUGUUGUGUCUUAUUGUAUGUAAUAAGGAAUGAAUUUUUUGGUUUGCUUUUCCGCUGCUUGUUUUAUUA